GCAGCUGUGGUGUAAUGGUGAAUAUGCCUUCCUCCCAAGGAGCGAUCCGGGUUCGAUUCCCCGCAGCUGCA
rnacentral:tRNA from 1 species